rnacentral:tRNA from 1 species
AGCGGGGAGGUGUAGUGGUUGCAUCUCAGUUUCAUAUGCUGAGGGACCGGUUCGAUUCCGGCGACCGCUUCCA